rnacentral:lncRNA from 1 species
AUCAACCAUGUUGUUAUCGCCGGGCCACUCCCCCCUCCACCUCUCAAUGUCGCCACCUUCCCCAUCAUUACCCGACCACAAUCUUAAUUCAACCAGCAGUAAUCUUUCUUCAGUACCAACCAAUAAACACUGAUCUAAAGUACUCGAUGAGGGCACCUAUGUAGCCGCCAUAGAGAAAAUAAUCGAACGCGAUUUCUUCCCUGACACCCCUAAACUUUGCAAUCGACUCGAUUGGCUCGAAGCCAUCCGCACUGUCUUGUUCAAAUUCGUGAUGCUCAUGUGCAAACUAGUACGAUGUUGUCGACGGAAGUGAAUGAAGAAGAGA